ACGGGAGGCAGCAGUGGGGAAUAUUGGACAAUGGGGGAAACCCUGAUCCAGCGACGCCGCGUGAGUGAAGAAGUAUUUCGGUAUGUAAAGCUCUAUCAGCAAGGAAGAAAAUGACGGUACUUGACUAAGAAGCUCCGGCUAAAUACGUGCCAGCAGCCGCGGUAAUACGUAUGGAGCAAGCGUUAUCCGGAUUUACUGGGUGUAAAGGGAGCGUAGACGGCAAAGCAAGUCUGAAGUGAAAUGCCGGGGCUUAACCCCGGAACUGCUUUGGAAACUGUUUAGCUAGAGUGCAGGAGAGGUGAGCGGAAUUCCUAGUGUAGCGGUGAAAUGCGUAGAUAUUAGGAGGAACACCAGUGGCGAAGGCGGCCUGCUGGACUGUUACUGACACUGAGGCACGAAAGCGUGGGGAGCAAACAGGAUUAGAUACCCUGGUA
rnacentral:rRNA from 1 species